CUAUUAUGGAGAGUUUGAUCCUGGCUCAGGACGAACGCUGGCGGCGUGCCUAAUACAUGCAAGUCGAGCGGA
rnacentral:rRNA from 2 species